GACGAACGCUGGCGGCGUGCCUAAUACAUGCAAGUAGAACGCACAGUUUAUACUGUAGCUUGCUACACCAUAGACUGUGAGUUGCGAACGGGUGAGUAACGCGUAGGUAACCUGCCUGGUAGCGGGGGAUAACUAUUGGAAACGAUAGCUAAUACCGCAUAACAUUGAUUAUUGCAUGAUAAUUGAUUGAAAGAUGCUAUUGCAUCUCUACCAGAUGGACCUGCGUUGUAUUAGCUAGUAGGUGAGGUAACGGCUCACCUAGGCGACGAUACAUAGCCGACAUGAGAGGGUGAUCGGCCACACUGGGACGGAGACACGGCCCAGACUACUACGGGAGGCAGCAGUAGGGAAUCAUCGGCAAUGGACGAAAGACUGACCGAGCAACGCCGCGUGAAUGAAGAAGGGUUUCGGAUCGGAAAGCUCUGUUGUAAGAGAGGAACGGGUGUGAAAGUGGAAAGUUCACACUGUGACGGUAUCUUACCAGAAAGGGACGGCUAACUACGUG
rnacentral:rRNA from 1 species